rnacentral:rRNA from 1 species
GGGUUGACUCCAAUGAACCGAGCUUCACCCUUGUGGUGCUCCCCCGCCAAUUCCUUUAAGUUCAUACUUGCGUACGUACNCCCAGGCGGCAGACUUAACGGCUUCCCUGCGGCACUGCAUUGGCCACAAGCCAAUGCAUCACCGAGUCUGCAUCGUUUACAGCUGGGACUACCCGGGUAUCUAAUCCGGUUUGCUCCCCCAGCUUUCAUCCCUCACCGUCGAACGUGUUCUGGUACACCGCCUUCGCCACAGGUGGUCUUCAAUAGAUCAAAGGAUUUUACCCCUUCCUAUCGAGUACCGUGUACCUCUCCCACUCCCUAGCUGCACAGUAUUUUCGGCGGCCUAUACGUUAAGCGCAUAGAUUUAACCGAAAACUUAUGCAACCGGCUACGGAUGCUUUAGGCCCAAUAAACCUCCUGACCACUCGAGGUGCUGGUUUUACCGCGGCGGCUGACACCAGAACUUGCCCACCCCUUAUUCACCAGUGAUUCUACAACUGACAAAAGACUCCUUUAGCAGGAGACACUCGGAUUAACCUUGUCGUGCUUUCGCACAUUGGCAAAGGUUCUCGCCUGCUGCGCCCAUAGGGCUGGGUCCGGUCUCAGUACCAU